UAAAGCUGUAAUAAAACCCACAAACAGAAUUUCAUAGUUAAUUUUCUCUCACCAAAAUCAAAAACCCAAAAUCUACCGUAAACCGAAACCCAUCUUCGAAUCUUCAUUUGAAUGAUUUUUGUUCGACAAAAAGAAAUCAUCAUCAACAACAACGACAGGAACAAGUUUUUUCCCAUUAGAAACCCACAAUAGAAUUCCCCUCAUAAACAUAGAAUACAUCUGAUCUUUAGGACAUGUUCUUGUGUAAAUUCUAUAACUCGAUUUCGAAUCCGAUCUCAGAUUAGUGAUUAGUAUGCUGUACUCUGCAUUACCCAUAAAAUGGUUAGGCAAAUCAUUUACAAAUUACAGUUUUUCAAUUUAAUGGUGGAAAUUAGAGUUCAUCCGAUUGUAACCGUAGAGAUCCAUUGAUCAGCUAGGAGUGAGUUUUGGUUCGUUUGAAGGAUUUGGACAUUUGGGUAUCCAUCAGCAGCUGAGUGAAUCACCAGUUUUGGGGCCAUCUGAGGUUCCUGAAUAGAACCUAGAAUUCAAGCAUAGGCUUCCAAUAGCUCUUGGAGCAGCUAAAGGUGAUCCUCUGGAAAAUCAGAGAGCAUUGAUGGCUACCCUGGUUUAGCCCACCUGCAUACUUUGAGUCCUCUUUUGGUACAUAAGAAUUUCAAAACAUGCAGAUGUUUUACAAUGCGACACCUCAAGCAUUAGUAAGGACACUUGUUAGUGUUUGCCACGUCUUAACUUUAUAAUAACACAUCAGGGUGACAUAAUUUCAA